rnacentral:rRNA from 1 species
AGAGUUUGAUCCUGGCUCAGGAUGAACGCCCCUUGCGUGCUUAACACAUGCAAGUCGAGCGAAGCGCUCACGCGGAAUUUUUCGGAAGGAAGCGGGAGUGACUUAGCGGCGGACGGGUGAGUAACGCGUGGGUAACCUGCCCCAUACCGGGGGAUAACGGUUAGAAAUGACCGCUAAUACCGCUUAAGCGCGCGAGGCCGCAUGGCCGCGCGCGAAAAACUCCGGUGGUAUGGGAUGGGCCCGCGUCUGAUUAGGUAGUUGGCGGGGUAAGGGCCCACCAAGCCGACGAUCAGUAGCCGACCUGAGAGGGUGGCCGGCCACAUUGGGACUGAGACACGGCCCAAACUCCUACGGGAGGCAGCAGUGGGGGAUAUUGCACAAUGGGGGAAACCCUGAUGCAGCGACGCCGCGUGAGUGAAGAAGUAUUUCGGUACGUAAAGCUCUAUCAGCGGGGAAGAAAGAGGACGGUACCCGACUAAGAAGCCCCGGCUAACUACGUGCCAGCAGCCGCGGUAAUACGUAGGGGGCGAGCGUUAUCCGGAUUUACUGGGUGUAAAGGGAGCGUAGACGGCGUCGCAAGUCUGAAGUGAAAGCCCGUGGCUCAACCGCGGAACCGCUUUGGAAACUGCGAGGCUGGAGUGCUGGAGAGGUAAGCGGAAUUCCUGGUGUAGCGGUGAAAUGCGUAGAUAUCAGGAGGAACACCGGUGGCGAAGGCGGCUUACUGGACAGUGACUGACGUUGAGGCUCGAAAGCGUGGGGAGCGAACAGGAUUAGAUACCCUGGUAGUCCACGCGGUAAACGAUGA